UAUAAUGGGUCAGCGACUUAUAUUCUGUAGCAAGGUUAACCGUAUAGGGGAGCCGGAGGGAAACCGAGUCUUAACCGGGCGUUAAGUUGCAGGGUAUAGACCCGAAACCCGGUGAUCUAGCCAUGGGCAGGUUGAAGGUUGGGUAACACUAACUGGAGGACCGAACCGACUAAUGUUGAAAAAUUAGCGGAUGACCUGUGGCUGGGGGUGAAAGGCCAAUCAAACCGGGAGAUAGCUGGUUCUCCCCGAAAGCUAUUUAGGUAGCGCCUCGUGAAUUCAUCUCCGGGGGUAGAGCACUGUUUCGGCUAGGGGGCCAUCCCGGCUUACCAACCCGAUGCAAACUGCGAAUACCGGAGAAUGUUAUCACGGGAGACACACGGCGGGUGCUAACGUCCGUCGUGAAGAGGGAAACAACCCAGACCGCCAGCUAAGGUCCCAAAGUCAUGGUUAAGUGGGAAACGAUGUGGGAAGGCCCAGACAGCCAGGAUGUUGGCUUAGAAGCAGCCAUCAUUUAAAGAAAGCGUAAUAGCUCACUGGUCGAGUCGGCCUGCGCGGAAGAUGUAACGGGGCUAAACCAUG
rnacentral:rRNA from 1 species